rnacentral:rRNA from 1 species
UUUAUUGGAGAGUUUGAUCCUGGCUCAGGAUGAACGCUGGCGGCGUGCCUAAUACAUGCAAGUCGAGCGAAUGGAUUGAGAGCUUGCUCUCAAGAAGUUAGCGGCGGACGGGUGAGUAACACGUGGGUAACCUGCCCAUAAGACUGGGAUAACUCCGGGAAACCGGGGCUAAUACCGGAUAACAUUUUGAACUGCAUGGUUCGAA